rnacentral:rRNA from 1 species
AUUGAACGCUGGCGGCGUGCCUAACACAUGCAAGUCGAGCGGUAACAGGUGUAGCAAUACAUGCUGACGAGCGGCGAACGGGUGAGUAAUGCUUCGGAAUCUGCCCAUGUAGUGGGGAAUAACCAGCCGAAAGGUUGGCUAAUACCGCAUACGACCCUUGCCCACAAGGACAAAGGUAGAAAGCGAGGGGAUCGCAAGACCUUGCGCUAUUGGAUGAGCCGAAGUCGGAUUAGCUAGUUGGUAGGGUAACGGCCUACCAAGGCGACGAUCCGUAGCUGGUCUGAGAGGACGACCAGCCACACUGGGACUGAGACACGGCCCAGACUCCUACGGGAGGCAGCAGUGGGGAAUAUUGGACAAUGGGGCAACCCUGAUCCAGCGACGCCGCGUGUGUGAAGAAGGCCUGCGGGUUGUAAAGCUACUUUUAGUGGGGAU